AACGAACGCUGGCGGCAUGCCUAACACAUGCAAGUCGAACGAUACCUUCGGGUCUAGUGGCGCACGGGUGCGUAACGCGUGGGAACCUGCCCUUAGGUUCGGAAUAACUCCCCGAAAGGGGUGCUAAUACCGGAUAAUGUCUUCGGACCAAAGAUUUGUCGCCUUUGGAUGGGCCCGCGUUGGAUUAUUUGGUUGGUAGUGUAAAAGCCUACCAAGGCGACGAUCCAUAGCUGGUCUGAGAGGAUGAUUAGCCACACUGGGACUGAGACACGGCCCAGACUCCUACGAGAGGCAGCAAUGGGGAAUAUUGGACAAUGGGCGAGAGGCUGAGCCAGCAAUGCCGCGUGAGUGAUGAAGGCCUUAGGGUUGUAAAGCUCUUAUGCCCGGGAUGAUAAUGACAGUACCGGGAGAAUAAGCUCCGACUAACUCCGUG
rnacentral:rRNA from 1 species